UACGAAGGGGGCUAGCGUUGCUCGGAAUUACUGGGCGUAAAGCGCACGUAGGCGGCUUUCUAAGUCGGGGGUGAAAUCCUGGAGCUCAACUCCAGAACUGCCUUCGAUACUGGAGAGCUCGAGUCCGGGAGAGGUGAGUGGAACUGCGAGUGUAGAGGUGAAAUUCGUAGAUAUCAGGUGGAACACCAGUGGCGAAGGCGGCUUUCUGGACGGUAACUGACGCUGAGACGCGAAAGCGUGGGGAGCAAACAGG
rnacentral:rRNA from 1 species